UUGAAUGGAACACGUAUGAUCAUUGAUGAGGUUCUUAUUUAUAUAUCAAUUAUUAGUCUGGUAGUAUAUCAUCUAAUGACAUAAACCUACUUUGAAUUCACCUUAGAUAGGUCUUGAAAUUAAUCCAAUUCGUAGAAAGCUUCUCGACUAAGCAGUUAAAAAUGAAUAUAUUGCAUAUCAAAUACCUUUGGAUGCCAUCUCGCUACAAAUUAAGUGAAAUAACUCAAUCAUUUCUUAAUAGGUUGUGUGUCCACCAGUUGAAAAUGUAAAAUUUGCAAUUGAAAAUGUUAACAUCUCAAAACAUUUACUUGCUGAUUUUUCUCCAACGAUAUCCCCAAAGAUUUAAAAGGUUUUUUCUGAUAAUAUAACGAAUAAAAAAGUCGAUAACUCGGCCUAAUACCAAUUCUUUACACAUAUAAUCACCAUUGAUCUUGGCUUCAACACUUGCUAAAAUGAAUACAUCAAUAUUUCCAACAUAAAUAACUGGUCUAAAUCCUCACUUAGGUAGUUAUCUAACUUAAAAUGAGUCAGAUAUAAUGUCAGCUCUCGUUGUUAGUUUUUGAAAUAUUUCUCAUCAAUUUUCUCAGGCAAUAUUCCAUCAGUAAGAAUACUCAAUUCCUAAUCCAUAGCUUUCUCACUUGUUCCUCGCU
rnacentral:lncRNA from 1 species